CCACCACUAAGCCAGUGGUGAACUCCACAUACGCAUCCUUUGCUGAGGAUACGGUUAACGGAGCGAAAGCGACGUUCAACCUCAAAAGAAGCAGAGGGGGCUUAGUGGUGGGGUGACUGCGUACCUUUUGUAUAAUGGGUCAGCGACUUAUAUUCUGUAGCAAGGUUAACCGAAUAGGGGAGCCGGAGGGAAACCGAGUCUUAACCGGGCGUUAAGUUGCAGGGUAUAGACCCGAAACCCGGUGAUCUAGCCAUGGGCAGGUUGAAGGUUGGGUAACACUAACUGGAGGACCGAACCGACUAAUGUUGAAAAAUUAGCGGAUGACCUGUGGCUGGGGGUGAAAGGCCAAUCAAACCGGGAGAUAGCUGGUUCUCCCCGAAAGCUAUUUAGGUAGCGCCUCGUGAAUUCAUCUCCGGGGGUAGAGCACUGUUUCGGCUAGGGGGUCAUCCCGACUUACCAACCCGAUGCAAACUGCGAAUACCGGAGAAUGUUAUCACGGGAGACACACGGCGGGUGCUAACGUCCGUCGUGAAGAGGGAAACAACCCAGACCGCCAGCUAAGGUCCCAAAGUCAUGGUUAAGUGGGAAACGAUGUGGGAAGGCCCAGACAGCCAGGAUGUUGGCUUAGAAGCAGCCAUCAUUUAAAGAAAGCGUAAUAGCUCACUGGUCGAGUCGGCCUGCGCGGAAGAUGUAACGGGGCUAAACCAUGCACCGAAGCUGCGGCAGCGAACGUAUCACCCAAGACAACUUUACGGAGUUGACGAUUGAUGGAGCGAAGCGACGUCAAAGCGUUCAUUAAAGUCGAGUUGGCUUAGGGAUACGUUCGUUGGGUAGGGGAGCGUUCUGUAAGCCUGUGAAGGUGGCCUGUGAGGGUUGCUGGAGGUAUCAGAAGUGCGAAUGCUGACAUAAGUAACGAUAAAGCGGGUGAAAAGCCCGCUCGCCGGAAGACCAAGGGUUCCUGUCCAACGUUAAUCGGGGCAGGGUGAGUCGACCCCUAAGGCGAGGCCGAAAGGCGUAGUCGAUGGGAAACGGGUUAAUAUUCCCGUACUUGGUGUUACUGCGAAGGGGGGACGGAGAAGGCUAUGUUGGCCGGGCGACGGUUGUCCCGGUUUAAGCGUGUAGGUGUGUGUUCCAGGUAAAUCCGGUUCACUUUAACACUGAGGCGUGA
rnacentral:rRNA from 1 species